rnacentral:rRNA from 1 species
UACGUAGGAGGCAAGCGUUGUCCGGAUUUACUGGCGUAAAGCGCGCGCAGGCGGCAGUGCAAGUAAGGUGUGAAAUCUCCCUGCUCAACGGGGAGGGUGCAUUUUAGACUGCACAGCUAGAGGUCGGUAGAGGGGGGUGGAAUUGCUGGUGUAGCGGUGAAAUGCGUAGAGAUCGGGAAGAACAUCGGUGGCGAAGGCGGCCAGCGCUGGGCCGU